AUUGAACGCUGGCGGCAUGCCUUACACAUGCAAGUCGAACGGUAACGCGGGGCAACCUGGCGACGAGUGGCGAACGGGUGAGUGAUGUCUCGGAGCGUGCCCAAUAGUGGGGGAUAGCCCGGCGAAAGCCGGAUUAAUACCGCAUGAGACCUGAGGGUGAAAGCGGAGGAUCGCAAGACCUCGCGCUGUUGGAGCGGCCGAUAUCAGAUUAGGUAGUUGGUGGGGUAAAGGCCUACCAAGCCUGCGAUCGGUAGCUGGUCUGAGAGGAUGACCAGCCACACUGGGACUGAGACACGGCCCAGACUCCUACGGGAGGCAGCAGUGGGGAAUUUUGGACAAUGGGCGCAAGCCUGAUCCAGCCAUGCCGCGUGCGGGAAGAAGGCCUUCGGGUUGUAAACCGCUUUUGUCAGGGAAGAAAGCUUCUGGGUUAGUACCUCGGGAGGAUGACGGUACCUGAAGAAUAAGCACCGGCUAACUACGUGCCAGCCGCCGCAGUAA
rnacentral:rRNA from 1 species